rnacentral:lncRNA from 1 species
GAUAUAUAUUUUUAAAUAUAUUUGUCAUGUUUUUACCUUUUAUAAUCAGUACAAAUUGAAUUCGGUAUCUUAAAAUUUAAAACACUUAGUCAAUAUGCAUCAACCACUUGCGUUAGACAUUUGAUGUGGACAUAAUUUUUUUAAUGAAAUAUUGUUCUAAUUUAAUUUCUAUAAAGUAAUAUAUACUAUGGAGUUGGGAUAAUGAUGAAACCUUGUUGGAAAAAAUAACCCUCUUAUCAUCAGGGUUGUCAUGCUUGGAAUGAACCCAUGAUUCACAAGAAAAAUUCACAGGACCAGUGAGAAAGCCAUCAAGAACAAUGUUCUUUAUAAACAUUUCCCUUCUAUGCUCAUUUUCCACAAGAACUGCACCAAUAUCUCCAAAACUUUGUGGUACUUCAAAUUCAGCUUCAUAUUUAAUCUCUUCCACUGAUCUAUGCGUUUGGUGGACGUAACCUUUGAUUCUUUCCUUCUCCAAUUUUGUCUCUUUUUGAACCAAAAACAAGGGAAAAAUACAAGUAAUUAAGGUCAAUUAAUUUUGUUUUUGUUUGGUACAUAAUUAACGUCAAUUUUAGCAUAUAUUGGUCCCCUAGAAAAACAACGUUCUGCUAAAUUUCUUACUUCUACCAGAUAAG